rnacentral:ncRNA from 1 species
UUGAAGCUUAGAAGUUCUUAAUGUUCUGUAUGCAAUAUAGCCAUGUUUGAACACGAUGUUCAAACAAACCGCCACUGAGCCAUGGAUGGCGAAUUGGCGGUGGUGGCGUAUUUUAUGGAAAUGUAAAACAGAACAUUUUAGAACUUCUUAGGUUC